AGAAUCAACGCUGGCGGCGUGCCUAACACAUGCAAGUCGAACGAGAAAGUGGUAGCAAUACCAUGAGUACAGUGGCGCACGGGUGAGUAACACGUGACUAACCUACCCUGGAGUGGGGGAUAACUGAGGGAAACCUUAGCUAAUACCGCAUAAUACCUACGGGUCAAAGGAGCAAUUCGCUUCAGGAGGGGGUCGCGGCCGAUUAGUUAGUUGGCGGGGUAAUGGCCCACCAAGACAGUGAUCGGUAUCCGGCCUGAGAGGGCGCACGGACACACUGGAACUGAAACACGGUCCAGACUCCUACGGGAGGCAGCAGUGGGGAAUUUUGCGCAAUGGGGGAAACCCUGACGCAGCAACGCCGCGUGGAGGAUGAAGUCCUUCGGGACGUAAACUCCUUCGAUCGGGACGAUAAUGACGGUACCGGAAGAAGAAGCCCGGCUAACUUCGUGCCAGCACGCCGC
rnacentral:rRNA from 1 species